UACGUAGGUCCCGAGCGUUGUCCGGAUUUAUUGGGCGUAAAGCGAGCGCAGGUGGUUUAUUAAGUCUGGUGUAAAAGGCAGUGGCUCAACCAUUGUAUGCAUUGGAAACUGGUAGGCUUGAGUGCAGGAGAGGAGAGUGAAAUUCCAUGUGUAGCGGUGAAAUGCGUAGAUAUAUGGAGGAACACCGGUGGCGAAAGCGGCUCUCUGGCCUGUAACUGACACUGAGGCUCGAAAGCGUGGGGAGCAAACAGG
rnacentral:rRNA from 1 species